rnacentral:tRNA from 1 species
GCCCCCCACUGUAGUCUAAAUUACCGCUCGCGUAAAGAAAGAUACCCCCGGCUGAGUAUAGAACAGCGGUUUCCUAAACCGCGUGCCCUGGUUCGAUUCCGGGCGGGGGCA